rnacentral:lncRNA from 1 species
AAUUUAUCAAAAAUAAAAGAUAAGAUAUACAUCAACAUUUUUGAUGAAAUGAUCAUUGAAAAACAUAAGGAUUGCUGUCUAAAGAGCUGUAGUGGUCACUUAUAUCUAAGAAAGAACUGGCUUGGUUCCAUUGUUUUUCCUUUCUCUGCCCUUUUGCAACAAUCUGAGAUUAGUGGAACAUUUCAAGUAAAUAUUCCACCAGUGUUGCUUGGAUAUUCUUGGAGUAAGAAUUAUGUAUCUCCAAAAGAAGAUUACAAUGGACAGAAUUUAAGAGAAUGUACCUUCAUAAAUAUUUUUGCUACCAUUGAACCACAAAUAUCAUAUGUUGCCUAUAAUUCAAAACUAGACAAGUUUUCAGAUCAAGUAGAUGUUUUGCAGAGAGCACAGAUUUUUAAAAAUAAUUGUAAAACAAUGUUUCCCAACCGAAGAAUCAUAACUACUGUUUUUAAUGAUGAAGGGAUACAGACAUUAGUAACAAGAUAUAUCAAAGCAUUAAAUCCACCUCAACAACUUCUAGAUAUAUUUCUUCAUGAUUCUAAUGCAACACUUGACCUCAUUGCUCGAUUUGUGUCUCUGAUUCCUUUUAUGCCUGCUACGCUGGAUGCCAAUGAUGGUUCUGAUAUAUGGAUGACAUCAGAGCGCUGCAUCAGCUUAGCUAUUGGAAAUAAGGAAGAGCAUGCCAUACUUCUCUGCAAUUUCUUUUUAUAUUUUGGAAAGAAGGCAUCGGUCCUCCUGGGAACCUCAUUAUUAGAAGGGCAUGUUGCCUAUGUAUUAACUCAGGAAACUAAUGAAUGUUUGCUUUGGAAUCCAUCAACUGGACAAUGUCACAAGCAGUUUGAUCCAUUUUGUCCCUUACAAAGCAUAGAUUGUUUGUUUGAUGACAGGAAUGUCUGGUUUAAUGUGCAGCAAAAUAAUACACCAAUGGCUGUAUAUUUUGAUUUUUCAAAGGAAAGUUUCUGGAAACAGUUGCUUCCAAAAAAUUUUCAGGGGACAAAAUUACAAAGCAUACAGCCUGAAGAAAUCAUUUAUUCUGAUACAAAUAAAAAUAUGCUAGAAGAUCUAAAGAACAGGAUUGAAAGAACUCUAAAGUAUAAAAUAAUGGAAUGGAGACCUAAGCACCCAACACGUUGGAAUCGACAAUGUACUUCUAUUUUGCGACAAAUCCUUCCUAAGCUGGAACUUGGUACAGGAAGUCUUGUUUCAUCUGAAGGAGAGAGUGAAUUUGAAAAACUGCUACAAUUUUACUGGAUCACAGGAUUUCCUGUUCAGGUGCCAUACACUGAUGUUCAGUCAGUUAUUGAUGCCGUAUAUCAAACUGGAAUUCACUCUUCUGAAUUUCCUGAGACAGAAUUUGCUUUAGCUGUAUAUAUUCACCCAUACCCAAACAACAUAUUAUCUGUGUGGGUCUAUUUGGUAUCCUUAACCCAAUGUCACUGAAAAGAAGGGAAAGUCUUUGAAGAUAAGUGUAGAUGACCAGAGAUCUCUUCCAGGAAGAUCUUUUGAGCAUUACUCUCUACAACAGAUAUUACUCUGGAAAAGAAGCAAUUCUGGCUUGUUCCCCUUAAGGCCAACGCUUCUCAGAUGUGGACCUGACACCACUUUCACAAGAAUCACCUGGAGAAUCUUGUUGACAAUGCAAAUUCCAGAUGCCACCUAAGACCUAUUGAAUCAGAUCUCUAAGAGUGGAGCUCCAGAUUCUGCAUUAUUUUCAGCAAACUCCCCAGGAAAUCGUGAUAAGACUGCUAAUAGAAAAAGAAUGCAGCCAAACAGAAUGCUGUCAUUAUUAAAGUAGAGAAGAUACAUUUAAUGCAGGUUCUGAUAAUAUUGCAUGUAGAAGUUAUUCAAAUUGAAACUUAAGGUCAUUGCCUUUCAUAAAAGGUUAUUUCACUGGUAAAGAAAACCAGGAAAAUCUACCGAAGUCAGCUUCUAGGGACUUCUUAAAAGUUUGCUCUUAGAAUACUUCUGACAAGAAAUCCUUACAGCUCCUCAAAUUUGGAAGGGACUCCCAGGACACUUAUUUUUUUUGUUGACUCUGUGAAGAAGUAAGGAAACUGUCUUAACAAAUCCCAGGGCUCUUUUUGUCUUUAGUGAGUGGCUCCCACUUGGCCUCUGGCACUUUUCUAUUAUUCUCGUUUUCCCAGUAGUGGCCACAGGGAGGCUCAUGUAGAUUCCAGGAGCCUCCAGAAAGGAUGGAUAGGAAUCUAAACAGGAAACAACACUGUAUAUUUUUAUUCUAUUUCAUUGUUCUGUGCUCCACGGAGAAAAGUAUUUAUACAGUUUACUUAAAUGUGACUUAUCAUUUUAAAAAUAUAACCAAGGGAUGCAUACUUCUAAAAGUUGACCAGAAGGGCCGGGGAAUUAGCUCAGUGGUUCCGCUGCCUGCCUUGCAAGCACAAGGUCCUGAGUUCAAUCCCGGGUAGCAAAAUAAAUAAAUAAAUAAAAGUUGACCAGAACAGUUUUAUCUGUCCCAUUGCAAGAGCACUGCACCUGCUUGGUUCACUCAAAUAGAGAGCAGAGACCCUCAUAUUCAUCCACAGGGAACUUCCAAUCUCUGUCCCUUCCUCCAAUUUGCCACUUAGGCUGGUGCUACAGAUGGCCUUAUUUGUUUCCAGUGAUGUUAAUCUUGGGCCUACCUUGAGAUUACCAGAAGAGGUAAGGUAGGGACAUGGAUGCAGGAAUUUUUUUCUUCAAGUUAAAACCUACUCAUAUGUCUUCUGACAUGCAUAAGAAAACCAAUUAGAAUUUUUGUUUUUAUUUUAAAGUUUGUGCUUAAGUGUUAUAUGAAAUUUUAUUUUAAAACAAGUUUCCCACUUUGAGGUGGUGCAAUAUGGUGCCUGUGAAAAGAUGGCAUUACCUGGGCCGGGGAUUUAGUGCAGCAGUUCUGCCUUGCAAGCACAAGGACCCAAGUUCAAUCCCUGGUACCAAAGGAAAAAAAAAAAAAAAAAAAAAAAGAUGGCAUUACCAUAGAAAUGCUAAAUUUAUGUAUUUAUUUCUGUAGGACUUCUUUUCUUGUGUAUGGCUUUAGAAUUUGUAGGCCACUUAAGAGUAAGGUAGCAAACAGUCACAAGUAUGAGGACUUUUCUUUAUUACAUGCAUUUUUUUAGAUGUUUAUCUGCUACUUUUUAAACUAAUUUCUCCUGAAAAUUGUGAAGUUGUCCAUAAUGAAGCAUUUUUUUCCUUCAAAGGUUUUUAAAAUACAUACUUUAAAAUGGAGUAUAAGGG